GACGAACGCUGGCGGCGUGCUUAACACAUGCAAGUCGAACGGUGAUGCUCCAGCUUGCUGGAGGGGAUCAGUGGCGAACGGGUGAGUAACACGUGAGCAACCUGCCCCAGACUCUGGAAUAAGCGCUGGAAACGGCGUCUAAUACUGGAUACGAAACUGGCCCGCAUGGGCAUGGUUUGGAAAGUUUUUCGGUUUGGGAUGGGCUCGCGGCCUAUCAGCUUGUUGGUGAGGUAAUGGCUCACCAAGGCGACGACGGGUAGCCGGCCUGAGAGGGCGACCGGCCACACUGGGACUGAGACACGGCCCAGACUCCUACGGGAGGCAGCAGUGGGGAAUAUUGCACAAUGGGCGAAAGCCUGAUGCAGCGACGCCGCGUGAGGGAUGACGGCCUUCGGGUUGUAAACCUCUUUCAGCAGGGAAGAAGCGAAAGUGACGGUACCUGCAGAAGAAGCACCGGCUAACUACGUG
rnacentral:rRNA from 1 species